UGAUGCCACUUUUAUUCACAGCUGAUGUUCGUGAGUCGUGAUAUGGAUCCGUCUGAUGCAUGACGUUCAUUCUUGAUUUGCAAAGUAGCUUUCCCCAGAGCUAUUGUGACGGUAGCUUGUCUGUGGCAAAUUAGCAGCAUUUCAAAAACCUUCUUUUUAAAUAAUUGUGAAGUUACACGACCUACGCUGUCUGGCAUUUAAUGUUUAGAAAUAGGUUAUCAAUGAGGUUAUAUGUCUUUCUGAUUUUCAAAAAUGUCUUGUUGUGCCCAUUGUUUCCGACUCGUGUUGUUACUUUUGCACUUUAAACCCUUGCCACCAGACUGAUGUUUAUACAUGUAAUUGACCUGUACUAUAAACACUGGUUCAAAACUGACAAGUUAACUUUACUGCCAUAUAAGAGGAGACCGGGGCUGGUUGUCAUACUUACUGCGUGAAUAUUUCUAAGGGUAGCUUUAUUUUUUUAAAAUCAGUUGCUGCAUACAUGAAAGACUUGGCUUAAAAAAGAAAAGCUAUUUAACAUUUUCACCAUUAUUGGCCCGGAAAAAAGAUCCAACCCACUGAUCUCAUGCUAACUUUUUGUGACAAAUUGCCCCAAUGCUGGGCAAUGUUGGCACACUAUUUGGGGAAGUUGUCACAAUGCAACCUGUCAUUAAACCAGUAGUUUUUUUUUUUUUUUUUUUUUAAUAUUGGGGGAACCGUUUAACUGUCACCCCAACACCACAAUCACGAUUCCUUGCUGUACUCCCAGAUGUACUAUUCUUACACACCCACACACACUUGUUGAAGGAGAGUUGUUGUUUAUCCAGUGCUAAUGAAUGCUGAUGAAAGACCUGCCUUUUGACGCUGUUCACUCUGCAUGUCUUAAACAGGAAGUUGUGCAAUAUGUGCCCUCCUGUCCAAACAGAAAUUGUAUCGAGUUAUUUCUCUUCUGUAAUGUUAAUAGGUUUAAAUACCAAGUAAGCAAGAGAGGCUUUGUGUGCUUUAAAGGUGCUCGUUUCAGACUGAACGCACAAGUUAUAAGGCAUUCUAGCCACUCGCAGUUACUGAUAAAUGGUGUUAGUGGCUUAGGUGUGCACUACUUGAUGAAUCUGAAACUGCAUAUUGCUGAGUGGAAGUGAAGAUUUUUAAACUGCCUUUAAAGCUGGACUUUAACGAGACACUUAUGGUCAGUAUGAGGCUUCUGCGCCAUCAGAAAUUGCUGUCAAAGGUGUUGAGUUUGAGAGUGAAUGGAGACUGAUCUCUGUGGUGAUGGAUUGGAUCUCUAAGGUCUCUAAAAGACAUAUGGAAGAGCACUUGGUGCCUCUGGACCUUUAGGAGCAGCCUCUGUGCGAAUACUGGCGUGUUUCCUGAAUUGGCCAUUAUGCUGCAGAACGGACAUGAGAUUACGACCUCUGACCCUUAAUCACGAUCACAUGACGCUUUGUGCUGUAAUCCACGUCAGGGACCAUUUUGUGAAUCCUUCAUCUUUUAACCUUUUGCUGUGAACCUGACUCUGUAAAGACAACCAAGAGUGCUAAUCCUGAUUGUUCAGAUCACUGUGGCUACAGGGCAAGCCCUUCCAACAGAACUUUCCCUGUCACAAAUGACAUCUCUCUGUUUAGAUUCAUUUUAUUGAUGGCUGUUUUGAUCACGGCCAGCCCUUUUCAUAAUUGCAAAUGUAGCUUUUGCUUUUGACACAAUUCAAUUUCAGUCAUGUUCAUCGGCUGUUUUCUGUUUUGUUUUUCCUGUGAUGGUUAAAAUCCCAGUUUCAAUCCUUAAGCCCAGCUAUCUGUUCAGUUGUCUAUGUAAAUAUGUUUAUUUGCUUUUAUUUAUGUUGACUGUUAAAAUCAAUCUGUUGGAUUGGUUGAGCUAUAAAUAAGGUAUAUGAAUGCACUUCAUCCGGUGGAGUGCGUUGAAAUAUUGUGACUUCUUACAAGUCAGAAUUUAAUAAACGUUCUAUGAUGUU